ensembl:lncRNA
CUUCCACUGUGGGCUGCCUCGCUCAGCUCUUUCUCAGCUAGUCCCUCCUCAUCUUCGUUCCCACCGGGCGAGAGAAACCACCUGAGUCCCAGGCUCAGAGGCCGCUAAGGGGAAGGAGCCUCCAGGUGGCAGCAGGCCCAGCCUCUGCCUGUGCCCUGUGCAGGGCACCAGGCCUAGUACAGCAUAGGCCUCCCGAGGCUGUGUGGCAGAACCAGGACGAGAGUGUGGCUGCUGUCUUGGCUCUGAGAGAGCGAGGGCAACAGCACAAAGGCACCAGGAGACAGAGACCUUGAGCUGCACGCUGCACAGAAACUGGAGCCGGGAGCUCAGAAGGCGCGUCCUCGGGGCUGGGCAGGUGCCCCACAGCGACAGCUGCCAGCUGCCCAGAGAGCCGGAACACAACAGGCAUGACAUGGCACAGAUGCUGGUGAGGACAGAGUGACACGAGGUCCGUGUGGCGCGCUGCCUGGCAACUGCCCAGAGACCCUGCAGGUCCUGGAGGGGCUAAGGCCCCACCCAAGCUCAGGGGGUGAGGCUCCACCUGCACCUCGAGGCGGGAGAAGCGGAGGACCUCUCCAACAGGGGCACCUCAUCAGCAUGCGCCACUUCCUGCCCCUGACCUGCUCUGAGCUGUAGUAUGUCACCGCUUGUCUGUAGAAUACGCAAAUCCCACGGCACUGUGCCAAGGAACAGCGGGUCCGCUAAGAAGCUAGACUCAAGAGGAAUCUCUGUGCUGGCCAUUCCUGGCAGCAGGCAGCUGUGCUUCUCUUCCACCGAAUGAGGAUGCUAAGCAACCGCCUCUGGGAGUCUGUGACCUGCAGCAUGCAGAGCCUACUGGCACCCUGGGCACGCUCUGUCUCCCAGGAGGCAGCCAUGACCAGUUCCUAUUUUACAGUCGAGGAAAUGUAAGCUCCAAGGCUGUGACUUGUCUGCACCACACAACGAGACAGUGACUAUCGAGGGCUCGGCCGACUGUCCCACCUCUGUUCUGCUCCAGGGUGACAGAUGGCGCCACCUGCUACAGCUUGGCAUCCCGAGAAGGCUCUAGAAAGGUGCUGCCAGAGCCCUGCUCCACACCAGCGAAUGGGCUGUCACAGAGGCCUGGUGGGCAUCUUUCAAAGCCCUCCCUGUGGCCCCAGCCCCUUCCCAGUGACUGUGUGGCCCCCUUCUAGGCAGUGAGGCAUCCUGGGAACCCUGAGCAAGGCUCCCCUGCUCCUCAGAAAGAAACACUAGAGAGAAGCGCUCCCCUCUUUAGCUGCGUAUGCCGGUUGGGACUCCGGGGACUGCCCUGCCACAUCACUUCCAGUCCCGAAGGAAGACAGUGCAAGGGCGCAAUCCCCAGAGAAGAGAGAUGGAGGAGAUUCCCUCACCUCGAGACCCCCGCCCCAGCUCCCCUGUGGUUUGGGGUAGACAGUUCCUGGCUGGCUGAAUCAGUGCAAGGGGGCAUUUGUUAUCCACAACAGAAAGCCUGAGGCAACAGCUGAGAAUUCAGAACUCGGAAAAUUCAAAAUUAAGGAAACAUAAUGCCUGGCCAGUACUAUGGCUGUAAUCCCAGCACUCUGGGAGGCUGAGACAGGAGGACUGCAAGUUCACAGCCAGCCUAGGCUACAUAGCAAGUUCAAGGGCAGCCUUGAGCACAGGGAGACCCCGUCUCUCCCAAAAAUAAAACAGGGUGCAUUCAUUUAGCUAUUAAUGUCUCUAGUUUGUCUUUAUGACUGAGUAGUACUCCAUUCUCUUAAGUGAAAUAAAUCGGACACACGUGUGUAAAUGCUGAAUCGUUUCUCUGGUGCGAGAAAGUGAAAGUGUAAAUGAGGACCAAAAUGUAUAAUAGAUAUUGUGAAACAGGAAGAAAAUAGUAAGAGGGGAAAGAAAAAGAAGGAG